AUCGUAACAAGGUCUCCGUUGGUGAACCAGCGGAGGGAUCAUUAAAGAAGUUCAAUACUCCUUUCAACCAUCGCGAAUCUUACCUUUGAGUAAACGAAGUUGCUUCGGCGGGCGGCCCCGGGGAGGGGCCGCGGCGGAAACGCGCCCGCCGGACGACGACAAACCUCUGAAUUUUAGGUCUCUCUGAGAACCAAACAAAUGAAUCAAAACUUUCAACAACGGAUCUCUUGGUUCGGGCAUCGAUGAAGAACGCAGCGAAAUGCGAUAAGUAAUGUGAAUUGCAGAACUCAGCGAAUCAUCGAAUCUUUGAACGCACAUUGCGCCCGGGAGUAUUCUCCCGGGCAUGCCUGUUCGAGCGUCAUUUCAACCCUCGCGCCCCGCGCGGUGUUGGGGCCCCGCGGCUGCCGCGGGCCCUGAAAUCCAGUGGCGGGCUCGCCAGGACCCCCAGCGCAGUAGCUUAAACCUCGCUGGCGGCGUCCCGGUGCGUCCCUGCCGUGAAACCCCAUCUUUUACAAGGUUGACCUCGAAUCAGGUAGGAAUACCCGCUGAACUUAAGCAUAUCAUAA
rnacentral:misc_RNA from 1 species